CUUUCAGUUAAGAGGGGAAUAGACAUAAACUGAAAGCAGAACACACAGAAGAAAAGAGCUUAACCAUGAAUGAGCUUCUCCCAAAGGCUCAUGAUGAUUCUGGAGUCCCACUAACUGAAUAGCAACUCUGGUUGUACAGUGGGAGAUGGACCUCUACAGAGUGCUGAGAGCAAGGCACCUAGGACUCUUCUAUGGAAAAUGUUGCCUUUAUUUCAUUUUUCACCCAGGACCCAGACGCAAUGUUGAUUUAGCAAAUGGAAUCACUUCUGUGAGGACAGUUGUGUUACACUGAAAGGAAGAGGAAGCUGCUCAGGACACGUUCAACGCACGCUCCGGUUAAUUUAUGUGACCUGGCACUCUGAAAACGAAUAAAACCAGCUUACGCUUCCACUUGCACAUGAUUAAUGAGAGCGCACCGUGCCCGACCUAGGAAAAAAAUAUACAGAUUAGGAGAGAAAUUUGGAAUUAACAGAACAUCUGUUAACGGAGCUAGAAAUAUUCGACCACAGCCAUGUACCAUAAAUCAGAAAAUAGCCUUUUGACAGUUCUGCUUUGCUCUCCAUACCUUGGACCAAGUCACAGAGCUGUGGAUAGAUAUUGGAUCUGUUUUAAGCCACUGAAGGGAAGAUUCUCAGCUGGUGUAAAUCAUCAGGCCCAUCAAAGGCUCUGCCCUGGA